rnacentral:rRNA from 1 species
CAGGUAACCGCCUCGGGAAUUACGGUGCAAGGUUUAAACUUAAAUGAAUUGACGGGGGGCCGCACCAACGGUUGAGCCACUUGUUUAAUUUGAAGCAAACGGAAGAACCUUUACAGGCUUUGACAAUCAGAGAACUUUCCAAAGAUGGAUUGGGGCCUUUGGGAAAUUUUACACCGGUGGUGCAUGGCCGUUGUCAGCUUGGGUCUUGAGAAGUUGGGUUAAAUUCCGUAACGAGGGCCACCCUUGUCCUUAGUUACCAGCCCGUUAUGGUGGGCACUCUAAGGAGACUGCCGGUGACAAACCGGAGGAAGGUGGGGAUGACGUCAAGUCAUCAUGGCCCUUACGGCUUGGGCUACACACGUGCUACAAUGGUGUGUACAGAGGGUUGCCAAGCCGCGAGGUGGAGCUAAUCCCACAAAACCGAUCGUAGUCCGGAUUGCAGUCUGCAACUCGACUCCGUGAAGUCGGAAUCGCUAGUAAUCGUGAAUCAGAAUGUCGCGGUGAAUACGUUCCCGGGCCUUGUACACACCGCCCGUCACACCAUGGGAGUGGGUUGCACCAGAAGUAGAUAGUCUUAACCUUCGGGAGCGACGUUUCCCACGGUGUG